CUGAACCAGCCAAGUAGCGUGAAGGAUGACUGCCCUAUGGGUUGUAAACUUCUUUUAUACGGGAAUAAAGUGAGCCACGUGUGGCUUUUUGUAUGUGCCGUAUGAAUAAGGAUCGGCUAACUCCGUGCCAGCAGCCGCGGUAAUACGGAGGAUUCGAGCGUUAUCCGGAUUUAUUGGGUUUAAAGGGAGCGUAGGCGGGUUGUUAAGUCAGUUGUGAAAGUUUGCGG
rnacentral:rRNA from 1 species